UACGGAGGGUGCGAGCGUUGUCCGGAAUCAUUGGGCGUAAAGCGCGUGUAGGCGGCCCGGUAAGUCCGCUGUGAAAGUCGGGGGCUCAACCCUCGAAUGCCGGUGGAUACUGUCGGGCUAGAGUACGGAAGAGGCGAGUGGAAUUCCUGGUGUAGCGGUGAAAUGCGCAGAUAUCAGGAGGAACACCCAUUGCGAAGGCAGCUCGCUGGGACGUUACUGACGCUGAGACGCGAAAGCGUGGGGAGCAAACAGG
rnacentral:rRNA from 1 species